CGGUAAUAAUAACCGUCGGGAAUUCUACCCUGGUUUACCGUUAAACCGGUAAUUGUUUCAUCCCUAUUGUCCUCUCUCAUGUGCGGCUGCUGUGCUAUCCAACAUAAACUUUGGCUUUAAAACUUAACACAACAAGACCCAAACAAAAGAACUUCUCAAUGCAAAAUAGGACAAGUCUUAUCAGGCUGGUGACAAGCACAGAGCUGCCCCUGCCAGGUAAACAGUGCUGCCUACGAAGAGAAGCAGUGAGGGAAAGCUACCUGGCACUACACAAUCUACAGUUUCUAGACAAGUUGCAGAAGAACCCAGAUGGAGUGCUGCACUGGGCUGAUGUAGUGUCAUAAACUGGCAGUUCAGGGGCUCUUCAGGAUAUUCACAGGAUUUUACACAUCUUACCAAUCUGUGAGACUUUGGUGUGAUCAGUGCCGGAUUGCUGACUGUCAGCACACUUUCCAAAACUAGAUCCGAGCCCCACGGCACCCUUAGAGGCUCAAAUUACCCUCUCAAACCUGCUUGGACAGCACACUCAUACUACACACUACUGCUGUUCCAGGAGCAUUGAGAAAUUGUAUUCAGGAGUUGGACAAGAAUGGUGAGGAUUAAAAGGAAGAAAAAGACAGUUCAAGGUGGAAGAUUGGAGUCAGCAACAAAAGACCAGGGACAGAAAAGAGUCAGACAAAGAGGAGAUCGCUCAGCUUAAAAAAUGCACAUAUCAAGUGUAGGAGACCACGGAGAGGCCGGAGUAGAGGAAGUGGCUUGGGAAUGUGAUAGGACACUGACAGACAGAUGGAGCCAACACGCUGUGUCUUUUGAUUAAUGAAGCAGAGAGUUAGUAAAUAUACAUGGACCCCGCCCUCCAGCUCUUUCAGCUGUCUCAGCACAGCGCGGCAUGGAUGGAUGGGGGAUUUCUAUCUCGCCUUUAAGAAAAGGUUGUUGAGGAGGAGGAGGACGAGGGAAAGCGGGGACAGGAGAUCGGCAGACACUAACAGCCUGGGGAGUGUUUUCUCUUUAUCUCUAUGUCACAAAGGCCACCCCGGGUACAGCAGUCCAGCGCUCAGACCACAACUUCAGAGAAUUGGCCACCGAUGAAGACAUCAUCCAUCAUCCUACUGACGCUCAGCCAGAACACUUAGAGAUAAAUAUGGAGGCUUUUCAAGUUGUACCUGUCUAUGAAAAACCACCACAAUCAUAAACACACACAGAACAAGAAGGGGGUGCAGAGUUAGAAGAGGAGGAGGAGGAGGAGGAGCACAAGAAGAUGCUGGCGGAGGAGAAGAAGGAGGAUGAGGAAGAGGAGAGGAGAGCAUAGCAAAGAAGAAGGAAGUGAACGACAGUGGGGUCCAAGCCACGGGAAAAGAGAUUACAUCACAAAAGCAAUGAUGGUGCAGCAAGACCCAUGAAUACAUUACACCAUCAUAUAUACGCAGAGCAUGGGCGGAAGGUAGCAAGAAAUAAUAAAUCAAAAUGAAUGCUAUCAAA